AUACGUAGGUGGCAGGCGUUGUCCGGAAUUAUUGGGCGUAAAGCGCGCGCAGGCGGCUUCUUAAGUCUGAUGUGAAAUCUUGCGGCUCAACCGCAAGCGGUCAUUGGAAACUGGGAGGCUUGAGUGCAGAAGAGGAGAGUGGAAUUCCACGUGUAGCGGUGAAAUGCGUAGAGAUGUGGAGGAACACCAGUGGCGAAGGCGACUCUCUGGUCUGUAACUGACGCUGAGGCGCGAAAGCGUGGGGAGCGAACAGGAUUAGAUACCCUGGUAGUCCACGCCGUAAACGAUGAGUGCUAAGUGUUAGAGGGUUUCCGCCCUUUAGUGCUGCAGCUAACGCAUUAAGCACUCCGCCUGGGGAGUACGACCGCAAGGUUGAA
rnacentral:rRNA from 1 species